CAUCUGCUUUACAAAUGAAGUCGUUCCACUCUAUGCCCAAUAUACAACGUUGGCAUUUUAUGUGGAAAGACUCCAGCUUUGCCCACUCUGAGUGGCGCAGUCCUAAUGUUUCGCAACCGUACAGCAGUACAGAGAGGAUACAGCUCGAUUAGAUCCUGAACUUGGUUGUCGUGCCGAGAUGAUGCUGAUUCCGUCUUCAUUGUAAACGACCCAUGACAGAGGCUGCAAUGCCACACUCAGGCACCUAAAUAAAUGGCCUGACCUUUCUCAAAUGCUGAAUACCAAGAACUCCUCACUCGAAUCUGCCGAAGCCGUGGCUGUUCAGCUCCUCUGAAAAUCAAUCCACUCGUUUAGAUGCCUGAAUAUGAAUGUUAGUGCCAGACUUUGGACAGUGACAUAGGAAGACAUUGGCCUGAGCCUAUGCAUGGACUCUCAUCCUACAAUCCAGCCCCUCAACAGAUACAUCCCAGCUUCUGACUGUGAGCCAUUCAGCUACACUGGGGAGGCCUAGAUGCUAGGCCCACAUGAGAGAGGGAAGGAUUUCAGGCCCAAGGCCCAAGUGGAGCAGGAAGAAGCACACGCUCACCUCAGUUGCCUUCUUUGCUGAGGGCGCACUGUCCAGCACGCCGGCAGACAGACCCAGAUCAGAAGGCCUGGACUUGGUACCUGAACGCCAGAAGGGCUGAGGUGCUGUUUCCCGAGGAGCUGUUCCAGGACUAGCGAGGAGCCUUUCCAAGCAUCACAGAAGUACGGGCCACAGUUAACAUGGCAUCGAGUUGUUUGUUGCCUAAUAAAGCACGAGCCGGGCUGCCCACUGCCC